rnacentral:rRNA from 1 species
GACGAACGCUGGCGGCGUGCUUAACACAUGCAAGUCGAACGGAAAGGCCCUGCUUUUGUGGGGUGCUCGAGUGGCGAACGGGUGAGUAACACGUGAGUAACCUGCCCUUGACUUUGGGAUAACUUCCGGAAACUGGGGCUAAUACCGGAUAGGAGCUCCUGCUGCAUGGUGGGGGUUGGAAAGUUUCGGCGGUUGGGGAUGGACUCGCGGCUUAUCAGCUUGUUGGUGGGGUAGUGGCUUACCAAGGCUUUGACGGGUAGGCGGCCUGAGGGGGUGACCGGCCACAAUGGGACUGAGGGACGGCCCAGACUCCAACUGGAGGCAGCAGGGGGGAAUAUUGCCCAAUGGUCGGAAGCCUGAUGCAGCAACGCCGCGGUCGUAAUGACGGCCUGCGGGGUGUAAACCGCUUUCGCCUGUGACGAAGCGUGAGUGACGGUAAUGGGUAAAUAAGCACCGGCUAACUACGUG